CAUUAGUUUUCCAGAGAAACUAUUAGCAUAUGCAAAUGUCUUUUACGAAGGCGCAUUGAAGGUCUCUGGUGGUCUUCAGGAGUCCUCUGGUGGUCUUCCGUAGUCUUCCUCAUUUGUCCGUUACUUGACCCUUCUGGAUGAUUCUGCGUAGUGUGAUCUUCUGCAUGUUUGAUACAUCUUAUCUUAAAGAAUGCUCGUUAGUGCUUCUAUUAUCUAUGCUUACAUUUUGACGUAAUUCACAUGGAUACUUCUAAACGAAGUUACCUAAAAGGACUGGAGUUUUUGC